rnacentral:lncRNA from 1 species
CUUUGCUUUGAGGUUAAAUGCCAAUUUUCAGCAUAGUUAUUAACAAAUGCCACAUUUUCCUUUUUGCUUUUGUGAUUUCAGAUCUCAUUGAAAAAUGAAGAACCCGAAGGUUUUCUUUGACAUAUUGAUUGGAAAGGCAAAAUCCGGGCGUGUUGUGAUGGAAUUGUUUGCUGAUACCACUCCCAAAACUACUGAAAAUUUCCCAGCCCAAUGCACGGGGGAGAAAGGGUUUGGAGCUUCUGGGAAGCCAUUGCAUUAUAAGGGUUCGAUAUUUCAUCGCAUUAUCCCAAAUUUCAUGUGUCAAGGAGGAGACUUUACAAGGGGUAACGGAACCGGCGGAGAAUCCAUUUACGAUGCGAAAUUCUCGUCUAGCUAAAGCACACAGAGCCUGAUCUGUUAUCA